rnacentral:rRNA from 1 species
AUUGAACGCUGGCGGCAGGCCUAACACAUGCAAGUCGAGCGGAUGAAGGGAGCUUGCUCCUGGAUUCAGCGGCGGACGGGUGAGUAAUGCCUAGGAAUCUGCCUGGUAUUGGGGGAUAACGUCCGGAAACGGGCGCUAAUACCGCAUACGUCCUGAGGGAGAAAGUGGGGGAUCUUCGGACCUCACGCUAUUAGAUGAGCCUAGGUCGGAUUAGCUAGUUUGUGGGGUAAAGGCCUACCAAGGCGACGAUCCGUAACUGGUCUGAGAGGAUGAUCAGUAACACGGGAACGGAGACACGGUCAGGACUCCUACGGGAGGCAGCGGUGGGGAAUAUUGGACAAUGGGCGAAAGCCUGAUCCAGCCAUGCCGCGUGUGUGAAGAAGGUCUUCGGAUUGUAAAGCACUUUAAGUUGGGAGGAAGGGCAGUAAGUUAAUACCUUGCUGUUUUGACGUUACCAACAGAAUAAGCACCGGCUAACUACGUG